rnacentral:tmRNA from 1 species
GUGAGGUACCACCGUUAUCGGUCCGCAAAGUACAGUUGCCAAUAACAACCGUGCUCCGAUGGCUCUGGCUGCGUAAGCAGUUCGAUCUAUCGAAAUCUAAGCCCUUGCGCCUAGCAGCGUAAGGCGGGGUUCGCAGGCACCUGGCAACAGAAGCCUGCACU